AAAGGCGCAGCUAAGAAGAAGUGCAGUAAAGAAGAACGAUGGCAGCUUGUUCUGUGGUAAGUGCAUCGACAUCGGUCAAUGGGGCUUAUUGUUCAUCCAGCAGCACCGUCCUCUGCCUGCUUUGUCCAACAACGGUUCUGCGACCGUGGCUGCAAAAUCUCACUCUUCGGUCUUCAGUUGCAGUUUCUUUUAGUACAGUCGCAGCCAAAAUACUAAAUAAAUCCUAUAAAAGCCAUUAAAAGCUUAAAAUUCAUUGAUUCCAUAAAAAUACAUAAGAAAUUUUAAGUAUUGGGUCAUUUUGGUACCAGUGAUCCACUAAUGAAGGUCGAGCUUUUUAUCGAUAGAUGCAAUUUUUGUUGCUGUGCUUUGUGUCUAUAUAAAGCCAGCACAUUUGAAAGUUCAAGACAAAAAUUGCUAAAACAAAGAACCUAAUGCAGAAAUUAGCCUGAAGAUACAGAUUCUCAGCAAGGAUGGGUACAGCUGUUGCCAGAUAGCCAAGAAGUGCAGAUGCAGUUGGAUACACUCUGCAGAAAUACAGACGAACCAACAGCUUGAAAGACAAACCAAGAUCUGGUGUCCAGUGGUUUCUCUGUUAUUUGUUGACUUUGAUACCAACAGUGUUGAGAACUGACAUAUUGAAACUGUCAAGAAUUUAAUUUUGUUAAAGGGGUAGUUCGGGAUUUUUGACGCUUCAUUUUCGUGACCGCAGCAAACUGGCCGGACUAUUUUCAUCUGGACCAAAACCGGACCGGAUUUCUGCUCACCAGACGCUGUCGUAAGUCUGUGUGAAUGCACAACACUGCUGACGGGGAUGCCAUACAGAUUCAUGUCAAAAAUCCCGAACUAUCCCUUUAAUUUUUCUUGUAAACAAUAAACCAAAAAAAAUCAUUUGUAUGCGUUUGUGUCUGUCUAAUGCAGCCACACGUUUUGAAAAAGAUUCUUCCACAAAUAUUUCAUGGUAGUGUUUGAGAUUGUGUAAAAUUUUAAGGGUGUCCGAAAAGUUUUCCAACCACUGUAAAUAAGUACCCUUGGACUUUGGCGUAUGUAUUUAGCAGUUGUAGUACCUCAGUGAUCAAAUAUGUACAAAUACUUCAAUUACAGUCUAAAUGUAAAGAAAUAGUGACUUAUUAUUAAGUAGAGGCUCUGUGUAAUGUGCAAAUGGAUGGAUCUAUGGCUUCACUGCCUCUUCACAUUCAGGGUUGUUGUCUUGUUAGGAAAAUAAAUAGUUUCAUAAAUAUA